CUUGAUCUGGCAUACAAUUUGCAUUCUGCAUUUGGUAACUGGUUUCCUGGAUCAAAACCAUUGCUAGCUCAGGCCAUGAAUAAGAUAAUGAAGUCAAACCCAGCUUUAUAUGUCUUGAGGGAGCGGAUAAGGAAGGGUUUGCAGUUGUAUUCUUCUGAGCCUACAGAACCGUAUUUGUCAUCCCAAAACUACGGUGAGAUCUUCAGCAAUCAGAUUAUAUGGUUUGUUGAUGAUACAAAUGUGUAUCGCGUCACAAUUCAUAAGACAUUUGAUUGCUGAAGAUCUCACCGUAGUUUUG
rnacentral:misc_RNA from 1 species